rnacentral:rRNA from 1 species
CCCUUAGAUGUUCUGGGCCGCACGCGCGCUACACUGAUGCAUUCAACGAGCCUAUCCUUGACCGACAGGUCCGGGUAAUCUUUGAAUCUGCAUCGUGACGGGGAUAGAUUAUUGCAAUUAUUAAUCUUCGACGAGGAAUGCCUAGUAGGCGCAAGUCAUCAGCUUGCGUCGAUUACGUCCCUGCCCUUUGUACACACCGCCCGUCGCUACUACUGAUUGGAUGUUUAAGCGAGGUUCUCGAACUGCUAGCGACUUAGCUUCGGUGAGGUCGCAGUGUGGGAAGUGAACCUAGCUUUGGUGUCUAGAGGAAGUAAAAGUCGUAACA